UUGUACAGCAGGAACCUGUCAAACUCAUGACCUCUGGCACAAGGAACUGCGGCCAGCUCAGGCUGUGGUCACAGCUGGAAUCUUGGUAUUGAGCUAUUUCUCUCUCAUCCCCUGCAUAUCUAUGAUGAAACUGUUCCUGAAUCAUGGAAGGAUAAUCUCAGAGUUAAGGGACAACAGCAGCAUGCAAUACAGUUCGAAUGCAUCGGCUCUUCUUCUGUGAGGACACAAGCAUAUUGGAAGCCACUCCUCACCUGAGCGCUCCCCAGCACAGAGGUGGGUUAGGUGAUUUUUCCCCGAGGGAGCUUAUGAG